rnacentral:rRNA from 1 species
GAUGUCGGCUCAUCACAUCCUGGGGCUGAAGUAGGUCCCAAGGGUAUGGCUGUUCGCCAUUUAAAGUGGUACGCGAGCUGGGUUUAGAACGUCGUGAGACAGUUCGGUCCCUAUCUGCCGUGGGCGUUGGAUGAUUGAUUGGGGCUGCUCCUAGUACGAGAGGACCGGAGUGGACGCAUCACUGGUGUUCCAGUUGUCUCGCCAGAGGCAUUGCUGGGUAGCUAA